ensembl:snRNA U6 U6 spliceosomal RNA
UUGCUCACAUUGGCAGCACAUAUACUAAAAUUGGAACAAUACAGAGAAUAUUAGCAUGGCCCUUGCACAAGCAUGCCAUGUAAAUUCAUGACGCAUUCCUUAUUUUU